UAGGGAAUCUUCGGCAAUGGACGGAAGUCUGACCGAGCAACGCCGCGUGAGUGAAGAAGGUUUUCGGAUCGUAAAGCUCUGUUGUAAGAGAAGAACGAGUGUGAGAGUGGACAGUUCACACUGUGACGGUAUCUUACCAGAAAGGGACGGCUAACUACGUGCCAGCAGCCGCGGUAAUACGUAGGUCCCGAGCGUUGUCCGGAUUUAUUGGGCGUAAAGCGAGCGCAGGCGGUUAGAUAAGUCUGAAGUUAAAGGCUGUGGCUUAACCAUAGUACGCUUUGGAAACUGUUUAACUUGAGUGCAAGAGGGGAGAGUGGAAUUCCAUGUGUAGCGGUGAAAUGCGUAGAUAUAUGGAGGAACACCGGUGGCGAAAGCGGCUCUCUGGCUUGUAACUGACGCUGAGGCUCGAAAGCGUGGGGAGCAAACAGGAUUAGAUACCCUGGUAGUCCACGCUGUAAACGAUGAGUGCUAGGUGUUAGACCCUUUCCGGGGUUUAGUGCCGUAGCUAACGCAUUAAGCACUCCGCCUGGGGAGUACGACCGCAAGGUUG
rnacentral:rRNA from 1 species